rnacentral:rRNA from 1 species
GAUGAACGCUGGCGGCGUGCCUAAUACAUGCAAGUAGAACGCUGAAGCUUGGUGCUUGCACCGAGCGGAUGAGUUGCGAACGGGUGAGUAACGCGUAGGUAACCUGCCUGGUAGCGGGGGAUAACUAUUGGAAACGAUAGCUAAUACCGCAUAACAGUAGAUAUUGCAUGAUAUCUGCUUGAAAGGGGCAAUUGCUCCACUACCAGAUGGACCUGCGUUGUAUUAGCUAGUUGGUGAGGUAACGGCUCACCAAGGCGACGAUACAUAGCCGACCUGAGAGGGUGAUCGGCCACACUGGGACUGAGACACGGCCCAGACUCCUACGGGAGGCAGCAGUAGGGAAUCUUCGGCAAUGGACGGAAGUCUGACCGAGCAACGCCGCGUGAGUGAAGAAGGUUUUCGGAUCGUAAAGCUCUGUUGUAAGAGAAGAACGAGUGUGAGAGUGGAAAGUUCACACUGUGACGGAUC